UUCGUAUCCAGACCCAUCCAGGCUACGCCAACACCCUCAGAGAUGUGGCUCCCAAGAUGUUUGCAGAGGAGGGCCUCUGGGCUUUCUAAAAGGGUGUGAUGCCGCUGUGGAUGAGGCAGAUUCCCUACACCAUGACAAAGUUUGGCUGUUUCAAGUGGACCGUGGAGACGCUCUACAAAUACGUUGUUCUAAAACCUCGCAGCGAGUGCAGCAAACCCGAGCAGCUGGUAGUCACAUUUGUGGCCGGAG